rnacentral:rRNA from 1 species
CCCUUAGAUGUUCUGGGCUGCACGCGCGCUACACUGAUGUGCACAACGAGUUCAUUACCUUCUUCGAGAGAAUUGGGAAAACUUUUAUGCGCAUCGUGCUGGGGAUAGAGCAUUGCAAUUCUUGCUCUUCAACGAGGAAUUCCUAGUAAGUGCAAGUCAUCAACUUGCGCUGAUUACGUCCCUGCCCUUUGUACACACCGCCCGUCGCUCCUACCGAUUGAGUAUACCGGUGAAUUGCUCGGACCCUUGCCAAUUUUAGGGAGAAGAAUCGUAAGCCAUGAUACUUAGAGGAAGGAGAAGUCGUANCA